rnacentral:rRNA from 1 species
GCUUACGGCCAUACCACCUUAGGCACGCCCGAUCUCGUCUGAUCUCGGAAGCUAAGCAGGGUUGGGGCUGGUUAGUACUUGGAUGGGUGACCGCCUGGGAAUACCAGGUGCUGUAAGCA